rnacentral:rRNA from 1 species
CGACGCUGGCGGCGUGCCUAAUACAUGCAAGUCGAGCGGACAGAUGGGAGCUUGCUCCCUGAUGUUAGCGGCGGACGGGUGAGUAACACGUGGGUAACCUGCCUGUAAGACUGGGAUAACUCCGGGAAACCGGGGCUAAUACCGGAUGGUUGUCUGAACCGCAUGGUUCAGACAUAAAAGGUGGCUUCGGCUACCACUUACAGAUGGACCCGCGGCGCAUUAGCUAGUUGGUGAGGUAACGGCUCACCAAGGCGACGAUGCGUAGCCGACCUGAGAGGGUGAUCGGCCACACUGGGACUGAGACACGGCCCAGACUCCUACGGGAGGCAGCAGUAGGGAAUCUUCCGCAAUGGACGAAAGUCUGACGGAGCAACGCCGCGUGAGUGAUGAAGGUUUUCGGAUCGUAAAGCUCUGUUGUUAGGGAAGAACAAGUGCCGUUCAAAUAGGGCGGCACCUUGACGGUACCUAACCAGAAAGCCACGGCUAACUACGUGCCAGCAGCCGCGGUAAUACGUAGGUGGCAAGCGUUGUCCGGAAUUAUUGGGCGUAAAGGGCUCGCAGGCGGUUUCUUAAGUCUGAUGUGAAAGCCCCCGGCUCAACCGGGGAGGGUCAUUGGAAACUGGGGAACUUGAGUGCAGAAGAGGAGAGUGGAAUUCCACGUGUAGCGGUGAAAUGCGUAGAGAUGUGGAGGAACACCAGUGGCGAAGGCGACUCUCUGGUCUGUAACUGACGCUGAGGAGCGAAAGCGUGGGGAGCGAACAGGAUUAGAUACCCUGGUAGUCCACGCCGUAAACGAUGAGUGCUAAGUGUUAGGGGGUUUCCGCCCCUUAGUGCUGCAGCUAACGCAUUAAGCACUCCGCCUGGGGAGUACGGUCGCAAG